rnacentral:rRNA from 3 species
GGGUUGUGAGGUUAAGCGACUAAGCGUACACGGUGGAUGCCCUGGCAGUCAGAGGCGAUGAAGGACGUGCUAAUCUGCGAUAAGCGCCGGUAAGGUGAUAUGAACCGUUAUAACCGGCGAUUUCCGAAUGGGGAAACCCAGUGUGAUUCGUCACACUAUCAUUAACUGAAUCCAUAGGUUAAUGAGGCGAACCGGGGGAACUGAAACAUCUAAGUACCCCGAGGAAAAGAAAUCAACCGAGAUUCCCCCAGUAGCGGCGAGCGAACGGGGAGGAGCCCAGAGCCUGAAUCAGCAUGUGUGUUAGUGGAAGCGUCUGGAAAGGCGCGCGAUACAGGGUGACAGCCCCGUACACAAAAGCGCAUGUGCUGUGAGCUCGAUGAGUAGGGCGGGACACGUGGUAUCCUGUCUGAAUAUGGGGGGACCAUCCUCCAAGGCUAAAUACUCCUGACUGACCGAUAGUGAACCAGUACCGUGAGGGAAAGGCGAAAAGAACCCCGGCGAGGGGAGUGAAAAAGAACCUGAAACCGUGUACGUACAA